rnacentral:misc_RNA from 1 species
AACACUGUUAACCUGCGGUACCUGCGGAAGGAUCAUUACCGAGUUUACAAACUCCCAACCCUAUGUGAACCUUACCAAUCGUUGCUUCGGCGGGCUUAGCCCCCGCGCCCUCGCCGGCGCCGGGAGAAAGGCGCCCGCCGGGGACCCCAAACCCAAUGUUUUUCAUGCAGUAUUUCUGAGUGGCAAACGCAAAAAUAAAUCAAAACUUUCAGCAAUGGAUCUCAGAUCGGAAGAGCACAC